GGUCCGACCUUGCAUUCUUGACAGCGGCCGACCUCAUGGGAACCUCAUAACUGGCCGAGGUCAGAGUGACACCCCCAAUAUAUAUCAAACUGAUAAACAUAAAAUGUUGAUGAUGGAAAGCAGGGGAAGAAAAGAAGCCGCGGGUAUUACCAGAGUUUGCAAAGAGGGAAAGUGCCUUUUAUUAUGAUAAAAAAAGGCUGGUAAUUAUAUUAAAGCAAAGGAAACAGAGAUUAGUAUGCGCUUACAAACAGUCCC
rnacentral:lncRNA from 1 species